UGGGGAAUUUUGGACAAUGGGGGAAACCCUGAUCCAGCCAUCCCGCGUGUGCGAUGAAGGCCUUCGGGUUGUAAAGCACUUUUGGCAGGAAAGAAACGUCAUGGGUUAAUACCCCGUGAAACUGACGGUACCUGCAGAAUAAGCACCGGCUAACUACGUGCCAGCAGCCGCGGUAAUACGUAGGGUGCAAGCGUUAAUCGGACUUACUGGGCGUAAAGCGUGCGCAGGCGGUUCGGAAAGAAAGAUGUGAAAUCCCAGAGCUCAACUUGGGAACUGCAUUUUUAACUACCGGGCUAGAGUGUGUCAGAGGGAGGUGGAAUGCCGCGUGUAGCAGUGAAAUGCGUAGAUAUGCGGAGGAACACCGAUGGCGAAGGCAGCCUCCUGGGAUAACACUGACGCUCAUGCACGAAAGCGUGGGGAGCAAACAGG
rnacentral:rRNA from 1 species